CUAGUAACUGAUCUCAUAUCAGAUAAUCAAAUUGAUCUACUCUGUCUUACAGAAAAAUGGCUGGGCCAUGAAGAAUAAGUUAGUCUAAAUGAAGCCACUCCUCUCAGUCAUAUUAAUACUCAAAUUCCGAGAGGCUCAAGCUGAGGGCGAGGAGUUGCAGCCAUACUUGAUUCAGGCCUG